GCUAUGCCGCUGCAUAACGGCCAUAGGGGAGUUGCUCUGCGAAACCCUUUCCUUCUCCCUCCCUGCCAGUAGUUGCCUUAGUGACAAAACUAAUCGCUGCUGGUGCCCCUGCUCCUGUGAACAGGAGAAAAACAAAACCAUUUUUAUUGCUGUUCCAGCAAUCCUCUGCAAGUCCAACCUCAAGACGAAAUGUGCUGAUUAAAAGAUACGCUGCAGGUACUGGAGGAACACAAUGAAAAGGCAGAGUGCAGUGAAUGAAUCUUGUCUCUCAGCAGUGCUAUUUGGAGAACUUCUUGAAGCCAGUGGUGGAGCAUAACUGGGCUACUUGAAAGGAACUACCACUAAGAUGCAGGUUUUUGGGACACCCAGGAAAGAAAAAAUGAAAGUGAAUAAUAGGAAAAAUAAAAAAUAAAAAGUCAGACUUGGAGAUUUCUGCUCUUUCCACUGAACUUCCCUUUGGAUGAGUCAGAGGAAGGUGGGAAAUUAUAAGAAGAUCACCCUGUGAAGAUCUAUGAAAAUCUAGUCAGAUAAUCAACUGAGACUGAAGAAUGAUUCUUCUCACCCUGAAGUGCACAUCUAAAAUAGAUCAGACAGUCAAACCUCAGAAUUGUUGGCUGUUAAGUGAGGUCAGCACGACUAGCUUUGUAGCAGAAGUUCACUACAGAUGUCUAAAGCCAGAUGAGAAGUAUCACCUCAUUAAUUAAUUCAAGCACAGUAUGAAUGUAGUAAAGGACCAGCGCACCAGCAAAGGCAGCUAUACAAAAGCUCUUCUGUGUGUUGAUAGGCAGUAGAGGUGCCAGUGAUAAAUUGGGCUGCACGUGGAACAAGAUUAAAAGUAUUAAGUUGGAGUGCAUUGCCUUGUACGUGAAUUUACUGAGUAGCUUCAAAGGGAAUGUAUGUUCAGUUAUGAUGGUUUGAGGGGAAAAAAAUUUUGUCAUUUUGUAUUGUCACAAAGGAAGACAUUCUACGUAAGUGCUAGAAGAUAAGGGAAAUCAUGGAAAACCUGUUAUAUGAAGGAUUCAGAAAGACUUGGAUUGUUAGCAUGUGGAAGGAGACAAAGAAAUAUAGCAAUAAAAGCUGGGUUCACUGUGGUUGUAUGCUUGUUUUGUCACAGAUGUUCAGGGCACAAACUACCCUAACAAUGGCAUCCCUAAACUUGGUGUCCAGAUCUGAGAUAGUCACCUUGGGCUGCAAUAGAAGGGAAAAUGAUUAUUCUAUACUUACCAUUAGCAAGUGAUAUUCUUCCAUGUCUUGGAAAGCAGGGUCUCAAUGGACAUAGCAGCCAUUUGGGAGGACAGACAAGUUGAAAAGUGGUACAGGGGGUCUGCUUCUCCUCUCACUGUAGAAAUGAGCUAUGGACCUCACUGUUGCAUCAAUUGACUGACACUGCUCCAAGAUGAGUAAGAUUCAAAGAGAAACAGUGAUUACAUGGCUGAAAAGAAUAUCCAGAUAUAGCACAAAAGAUAAAAUUACACAGGAAGGCUAUAAAAUCUUCAGAUUUGAAAAGAUCAAGAUAUCCUUUAUUUUUUGUUGCUCAGAAGAGAUAAUCUGGGUUACAGACUGUAACGUCUGCUUAUUACAAACCAUUUUACACUUUUCUCCAGUCAAUGUUCUUUCUCAGGAAAGAAGUCCCUAGGCUAUUUCUCUGAUCCUAUAUGGACAUUUUUAUGUUGCUAGAGAAGAUGGAAGUCUCCAUUUGUGUUUAACAUGGGAUUUCCUCUUCUAGAUGGAAAUCAUCCAGUCUCAUUGAUUAAGUGCAAUUUCCACACACUUCAGUACAGCUCUGCAGGAUUUAAUGACUGCACCCAGCUGAGCAAUAUUCUCUGGAUUUGAUUCACUAUACAUAUUAAUUUUAGAGCCUGUCUCAAAUAACCUUCAUUGAUUUCUUCAUCAUAUAUACAAGUCUAACCUUGUUUGACUGGUUGCUUGAAAUGCAGUGCCAUUAUUCAGUGGAACAGGAAUUAAGACAGGCUGAUGUGGCUGAACAGAAUUAACAGUUUAAAAAAGUUGUCUGUCUGUGCUGAUGCAUUUGAGAAGAAAAGUGAUGGGGAUUCUGAGCACAGCGAGACCUGCAAGGUGCUUUGUAAAGCAAGUUACUUUCAAGAGAGAAAAAAAACCCAAAAACUGUCUGAAUGGUACAUUAGGCAUGAUCUGAUAAUAACCCCAAAAAUGUCUAAAAUGGAUACAAAUUGCAAAUCCACAGCUGUGACAAUGCAACUAUGGAUUUCUGGCCUCAUAGAUUUAGAGGAGCAAUAAAUGCCAUUGCCAAACUAGUUAAAAGCAACGGCUGAAAGUGUGUAAGUUAGACUAGCUGGAAAGUAAAUGUUUGGAAAAUGCUUUGAGAUUUCAUGUCAUUUCCUUGGGAUAGAACACUCUGAGGCAUCAGUAACUUCAUUUUCCAUUGUGGUGAACUUCAGAGCAAAAGAUUUAAAGACAAUCUCUAUAUGCUUUCUCCCAGAAAACUAUAAGCUUAAUGACCCGUUUUAUUAAAAGCUGAAUUCCAGGAAGUCUAAGUAGUCAUGGUGUGUUUUUUAUUUGUAAUGCUUUCAUCCGUAAGCACUGUUAUUUUUGUCCUUAUCCUGUACCUCUUAGCAAGCUUGCUUUUCUUGUUAUGAG
ensembl:lncRNA